UACACAGAGACCAUGGAGGAGCAUUGCUCAC
rnacentral:piRNA from 1 species